rnacentral:lncRNA from 10 species
AACACACACACAUGUUCACACAGACACACACAUGUGUGGGAUAAGAGGCAGAGCUAGAGUCCAUUUUCCAGGUCAGACUUGGGACUCCAAGCCUGACUUUGGAGUGAUUCAAAUCACCUUCCACCUAUUUUGCUGCUUGUUCAGUUCAGUACACGUUAAGAAUGGCCCCCAACCAACAGGGAACUGGUUUGGUUAUCUUCCUUUGCCUUUCAAACUCACCCAAGCAAAGAUAAAAGUAAGCAUGUCUUCACAAGCAUCCUCUUAAUGAUUCACAGUUUUGUUUAUUCUGCUGAGCUCAAGUCAGAUGUAACUUGACAUUUAUAUUCCCAUAUACCUCCUUUCUAUGUGUGUGGGUAUUUUAUUUCAUUUUUCAGUAUAUCUAAAUGGUUCUUCUCAUUCUGCCAGAGUGAAUCUAGUUACAUACGCUUGCUGCAAAAAGGAAGUUUCCAAAUCUGGAGUGUAAUAUUCAAUGGUCUUUUCAGAAGAAAGGCACGUUACUCUCUGUGACAGUAACAUUGCUUCAUAUCCAGACCCAAGUCACAUGAAGGAAUUUUCUUCUAGAAUCCUUAUUUACCAAUACCAAUUUUAAAGAAACAAAAUAACUCCAAAAGAUGAGCUUCUAAGGAAAAGACUGGAUACUUAUGUUUUCUCUUUACAGAGAAGCCAUUUCCUAUCUAAUGAUUCUGGAUUAAUUUCUGCAAAUUAGUAUCAGUGUGUAGCACCAGUCUCUCCUUUGCAAAUCUUAUACACCAAUUUUACAAACUUUACAAAUCUUGACCAAUAAAAGCCACAGAUUGUCAAAUGAUAGUUAAAAUACAAGGUUAUGUUUGAAAGUCCAGUUCCACAUAUUCUCCCAACAUAUUCUUUUUAUCAGUAAUAAUAUAGGUUCUCACUGACCUGAUUCGGCAGCCUCUGAACAUGCCAGUGUCUACAAGAUAAGGGCAAACCAAGGUUGUUUUAAUUCCAUCCUUUUCAGCAGCCUUUAGUUCAUGGCUCAGGGAUUCAUGAAAACCCACAACUCCAAAUUUACUGGCACAGUAAUCCUGAGUUAAAGAGGGGAGAAAGCAGAAAUACUAAGCAUAUGCCCCUAUCUCCAACCAAACUAAAGCUUCCCUGGUCCUAUUACCAUGUUUAGAUGUCUAAUACAUAAGGUUACAGGUGACUACACAAAGAAAAGGAAAUCAUUUUAAAAGACAGAUACCUGGCUGGGCAUAGUGGCUCAUGCCUGUAAUCCUAGCACUUUGGGAGGCCGAGGUGGCUGGAUCACUUAAGGUCAGGAGCUCGAGACCAGCCUGGCCAAAAUGGUGAAACCCCGCCUCUACUAAAAAUACAAAAAUUAGCUGGGCAUGGUGGGCCUGUGCCUGUAGUCCCAGCUACUCAGGAGGCUGAGGCAGGAGAAUUGCUUGAACCUGGGAGGUGGAGGUUGCAGUGAGCCAAGAUCACACCACUGCACUCCAGCCUGGGUGACAGAGUGAGACUCUGUCUCAAAAAAAAAAAAACAAAAACAAAAACAAAAACAAAAACAAAAAAAAAACACAAACCAGAUACCUGAUGUGGUUCAGUGCAGAAAUAAUAUUUUCAAAGCAACAGCAGAAACAGAUGAAUACUUUUUGUCACAUCAACUAAGUAUCAUAUUACUUUGGGGAAGUUACCAUAAAGGAUUCUAUGAAAGCUCACAAGCUGAAGUUAAAAUGGAGAGAGGUUCACUUUGAAGUGUCUGGAAAAUUUACAAAUGGUCUCUUGUUCAGUAAAGGAGAAAGAAAAACCAGUUUGUUUAAAUUAAUGCAAGAAGAAUAAAGGCAAAUCUAGCUUAGGCUAUAAAUUGUUAUGAUUUGACUUUCUUUGUAAGGCGAAGUUAAAAUGAAAAUGAUAAUCAUGCCUUGUAAUCUUAAACUAGAACUUAACCUAAAGGCACAGAAUAUAGAAAAAAAGUUAUUGUCCAUGGCCCAACUUCAGAAAUGGAAUCCCUUGAUAUAGGUGCUAUUUAAAUAAUGUGUCCUUUUGCAUAUUUGCAUGGAGUGAUGUUUUCAGUUUUACAGGCAUGCAGAGGACAAACAGGAUAGAACAACAUAUAUACUCAUACUUUAUAAUCUGAAUAUCGUGAAGAACAGGGUUUGAUGAAAUCCAGUUCUACAAUUCUACAAACUUACAAUGCAGGAUACCUGACCGCCUCAUCUGAUGGGCUAAUUAAUACAAGAUAGCUCAGUUUUGGCAAGGUGACCACAACCGAAUGUGAACCUCUGGCCUCAUUCUUCUGUUCCCCACAGCUUUCCAUGGUUCCAUUCUUGGCCCUGUGCCUCCUGCCAUCGUCAAGUGAAGCUGCUAAUGAAAAUGGGCACACUGAGGGCUGGCCCAUCUACUUUUCUUGUCGCUGCUGCUUUGUCAAACUAGUGUAAGAGAUUUUAUGGCAGAAGAGGCAGAAGUCCAUUCCCUUUCUUUGUUUUGUUUUAGAGACAGGGUCUUGCUCUAUCUCCCAGGCUGAAGUGCAGUGGUGCCACCAUAGCUCACUGCAGUCUUGAACACCUGGGCUCGCACGAUUCUCCCACCUCAGCCUCUCAAGUAGCUAGGACUACAGGUGUGCGCCACCACACCUGACAUAGAAUUCCAUUCCAGUGGCUGGCCCUGGGUUCCUGUGGAACAUUCUACAUGCAGCACACAUGCAGAGUGCCUUCGUGCAGCUUUCAUGAAUGGAGGGGCAGCAGGUGCUCUCCUGGAGGUUCUGGUGUACUUAUCACAGGAUAAACAGAUUGAACGAAAGAAAUGCUAUAUAUCUGACAAACCUCAACUCCGGCAGUACUGAACAAUCCCAAGGAACUUGCAACUGUCACAAUAUGACCAUGAUUAAUCUCCAGCAUCGUAGGAAGAAAAGCCUUAGUGGUCUGAAACAAAGUAAGAUUCAAGUUUUAGAACUGAUUUCAUGAAUUUCAUCUAAAACCCAGUCCAGGAUCACAAAACAAACUUUUAUUCACAUGAUGUUUUGUUUCCCAAUUCCUUUAAAAAUAUUUUAUAUUUAUCAAAAAGAUCUUUUAAGUGUCUGGCUAACUUAGCACUGUAUCAUCGGCAUGGCAGGCCUAUUAUAAGUCGUGACCAACAAGACUGUAACUUAAAAGCUUUUGGGGACAGUGUCUAGAGAUAAAAAGAGAGCCAUUGGCAGAAGCUUCUUAAUUACCUUUCAAGUGACAGUUAUCUGCUAAUUUAAAGUACUCCCAAGCCAGGUAUUUGUUUCUGCUCGUGACACUUCAAUGCAGCUAUCUCAUGGUUUAGGAGGGACCACAGCCUACUACAAACAUUGCCUUGUAUUAAUGUGUGCCUUACGGCGAUGUCUACGUAGUAAUAGACCUAUCAAUGAAGAGAUACUCCAGCAGCAUGCUCUGGGAUCCCAAGGCUUAUUACCAAAAUGUACUAGCAGGAGACAAAGUAUUUUAGGAUGUAAAAAACAGGCUAAAUUAUAGAACUAUUUUUGUGAAAAACAUAUCAUAAUGCCAACUAUGCACUGACAAGAACGUGUAUCAUUCUGAACAGUCACAUUCCAACAUGGGUUUCACCGCAGGGACUCUGCCACAGAUGCAAGUGACUGGCCACACAGUGAGGCAGAGAGUGUGGCACAAGUUCCAGGCUGGGGGACCCAGAGGCCCUGAAACUUGUGCCAGAGGUGGCACAAAAUCAGAGGUGGCGCCGAUUUCUUACUCACUAAACUCUUUUCUCUCUAGCUCGCUUGCCUUCAAAAUGCAAGGCUGUAUCAAAAAAAAAAAAAUUACUUCAAAUUGCUUACGAUGAUCUAUUAACUACUCCACCAGGCUCCCAACAGUUUUAUAACCUGCUUCUUAAAAGAAAGCAGCGAAGAGCAAUCUGUCUACUGCUGAGUUAUCUCCUACUGCCAGCACAGCUUCCCAUGAUUUAUGAAGUUAAAAAAACCCACACAACCAAACACUACAAAGCAGACUUAAGGAAGAGCUGCAUUCCCUUCUCAGAGGAUUUGCUGGCUACGGUAUCACUGAGUUUUUGCAUGAAUACCUAAUAUGGGUUUGUGGUUUUUUUUUUUUGGGCGGGGGUGGGGGACAGGGUUUUGCGGUGUUGCCCAGGUUGGAGUGCAAUGGCAUAAUCAUAGCUCACUGCAGCCUCGAACUCCUGGGCUCAAGUGAUCCUUCUGCCUCAGCCUGCCGAGUAGCUGGGACUACAGGCGCACGUCACCAUGCCCAGCUAAUUUUUAAUUUUUUGUAGAGAAGGGGUCUCAUUAUGUUGCCCAGGCCAGUCUUGAACUCCUGGGCUCAAGUGAUCCUCCCAUCUCGGCCUCCUAAAGUGCUGGGAUUACAGGCGUGAGCCACUGCCCUUGGCCUUAUCUAAUUUGUUAUAAUUUUUGUGUGUAAAGAUUGAAAACAGCAAUUCCCUUAAUUCUGAUGUUUUUCUGUGCUCCCACCAAUUAUUCAUACAGGUGCCACAUGAAUUUUUGUGAAGUAUCCCAAGGUCUUCCCCAGUCAUCAUGUAGUACCCCACUCCCAACUCACACCCUGUUUGAGUUUCCUCAUCAGUACCCAUGAAAUGCUUAUUCUCACCUGUGGCAUUUGACCCAUGAACUCUUCUGAUAAUCUAUCCCAGACCCUUCGUGUGUAAAUCAAAGUGUAAUAUUCAUCACAUAUUUAUAUAGUCUCUCAUGCUUUUCAAAGCGCUUUAUGUCACUGGAGCCCCCUAAUAAUUCUUUACUGAAGGUAGUUAGGGUGUUAAACCUUUAUCUAAUAUUAUUCUAGGCCAGCCUGACUUUGUCUACAUUUCUCUAAGACCUAUAGUCAGUACCAUUUACCUUAAUGCGAUUAUGUGUUUUAUAGUGCUUUGAUUUUGAUUGUCUUAUACUUAUUUGUCUGACUGUCCCAGACUAAGCUGGAAGACCCAGAUCAAUCUUCCAAAUAUUAAGGGAGAAUUACCUUGCUACACUGAGACAGGCACUGUGGAGGAGAGCUAGUGAUACGGUUUGGAUCUGUGCCCCCACCCAAAUCUCAGGUCAACUAUAAUCCUCAAUGUCAGAGGUAUGGCCUGGUGGGAGGUGACUGGAUCAUGGGAGUGAUUUUUCAUGUAUGGUUCAGCACCAUCUCCUGGUGCUGCUCUAGUGAUGAGUGAGUUCUUGCGAGAUCGGGUUGUUUAAACGUGUGCAGCCCCCACCCCCUCGCUUCCUCCUGCUUCUGCCGUGUUUAUUGCUGCACCCUCUUUGCCUUCUACCAUGACUGAAAGCUCCCUGAGUCUUCCCCAGAAAUGGAGUAGAAGCCUCUAUGCUUCCUGUACAGCCUGCAGAACCGUGAGCCAAUUAGACUUCUUUUCUUUGUAAAUUACCCAGUCUCACGUAUUUCUGUAUGGCAGUAUGAGAACAGACUAAUACAGCAAGUGAACACACUUCUCAUUACUGCAUUGCCCAAGUACACUGCUGAGGAAGAGAGACACAUGUUUCAGCUUGAUUGUAUUUCUUUGUAGUAGUAAAAACAGAAAGAGUAAUUAUGACAGUAAUUAUUAUUUUGAUCUGUUACCAGAAAAAGUCAAAAACUGGUACUUCAGGUUAUUAUGGGUUCAACUUUAGGCUCUAUAAUUUAUACAUGGGUAUUAUAUCACAGAAUUGAAAUAAAGUAACAUCACAAUGGAAUUUAUAUAUUCCAAUCUAAACUAGAAAACAGCUGGGCACAGUGGCUCACACUUGUAAUCCCCAAGCUUUGGGGGAGGUUAAGGCGGGAGGAUCACUUGAGCCCAGGAGUUCAAGACCACCCUAGGAAACACUGUGAAACGCUGCCUCUACAAAAAAUACAAAAAAUUAGCCGGGCAUAGUGGUGUGUGCCUGUAGUCUCAACUACUUGGGAGGCUGGGGUAGACAGAUCGCUUGAGCCCAGGAGGUCGAGGCUACAGUGAGCCGUGAUUGUGUUAUGGCACCCCAGCCUAGGCGACAGAGCGAGACCCUGCCUCAAACAACUAGAAAACAUAUCCCUAAGUAAUCAAGCCUAUAUGUCUUUUAAAAGUAUCUAGUUAUGAUUAAUUGUUCCCAGAUUAGCCAAAAAGUAUAAAACAUAUUAUUGACGUUAACCAGAGAUCAUUUUUAAGUUUUGAAAAUUUGCCUAGUCUUGGAAGACAGCAAUAAACUUAACAUAAAGGGUCUUAGUUAUCUUUCUGUAUAAAAGUUAAAGUAUAAGGACUCAAUAUUAAAUCCUAAGAAAUUACAUCCAAUAUCAAAUUCCUAUCAGAACCUGCUACUUGGUUACCUGACAAAUCUGAAUCACUCACUCACGUGUCCACUCUAACUCCAGCCAGCGGCUGGCUCUGACUAGAAACUCAGACACCAUAGCAGGUUGGCUGUAAUGACUUCCCUGUAUUCACGUGCUCUGGUCUUGCCUGCAGGUAUUAAAUGACUAAUCCAGAUCCCCAGCACCACAUCAAGGGUCCUAUUAGGGUGAUAUUUGCGAGGCACUGUCUAACCCGAGAGAGUCCCGAAGCGUCCUGCAACAGGAAGAUGCCCUGGACCCAAUGGAUGGUCAGGAGAUGCGAAGUAACUGCCAGGGUGGCCUGGGCACUCCCAACAGACCACAAAUGUUGAUUUCAGAAUCUUUGGCACUUUCCAAAAUGUGGCUGAGCAGUAAUUUGGAAGCCUAAAUCCUGACUUUAGAAAUUCAUAAGAACAACCAAUGUUUUAUAAACUCAACAGAAAGUAAAAUAAACAAACCCAGGGUUUUACGCUCCUUCGUGUUAUUUUUAUGGCAAUCUUUCAAACUAGUUCAAA